rnacentral:tRNA from 1 species
GGUAAAAUGGCUGAGUAAGCAUUAGACUGUAAAUCUAAAGACGAGGGU